GGAUGAAGAACGUAGCGAAAUGCGAUACUUGGUGUGAAUUGCAGAAUCCCGUGAACCAUCGAGUCUUUGAACGCAAGUUGCGCCCGAAGCCUCGGCUAAGGGCACGUCUGCCUGGGCGUCACGCAUCGCGUCUCCCCCAAACCGCCAAGGCGGAGGGGAAGGAAGAUGGCUUCCCGUGCCUCACCCGGGCGCGGUUGGCCUAAAUUUGGAGCCCGCGGCACUUAGCUCUCGCGGCGAUAGGUGGUGAACAAGGCCUUGGCCGUGCAAACAACCCGCUGCGAAGCUCUAUGUCACGUGCGCUCGUCGGACCCUUUGAAGUUGCCUUCGGUGACUUAAAACCUUUGCGACCCCAGGUCAGGCGGGGCUACCCGCUGAAUUUAAGCAUAUCAAUAAGCGGAGGA
rnacentral:misc_RNA from 1 species